AUUUUAGUUGCAUAAAAUAAUUAUUGUUAUUGGUAACCAUUAGUUUGACGCUUUUUGACAUAAAGCGGGUGUUUACGAGGGAGUAUAUGCCAACUUACGAAAGUGCGUCAAAAGAAUUCGCAAACACUGGCAUAAGCGCAAACUGACAGAAUUUUUAAACGCUGGCAUAGGUGCAAAGCAUAAGUACUAAUGCUUUAGCUUAUUAAAUUUAAAAAUUUUUUUGUUUUUAAAAAAUAACAGAAGUGGAUGCCUUAAGAAUCUAUGGAAACGCGACAAUUUAUUGCAAUCUUGCAAAAGAUAUUUAUUGAACCAUAACAAACUGAUUUAACAAGCCUUUAAUUAGUUUUCCAAAUUGUGAUCAAGAACAGUCAAAGCAAGAUGAAGCUAUCGGCUAUCGGCUUAUACUAAUCCAUUAAAUCAAGCAACUGUUAACAUACAACCUCAACCAUAUGUUAUAUAUCCUUCAACAUAUUACAACUUUGCUUGGCUCGCUAGUUUAUUUUGUUGUUUGCCUCUUGGUGCUGUCGCGAUAUACUACUCACGUAAAGCACAGAUCGCUAUCAAUGAAGGAAAUAUUGAAAAUGCAAGAUAUGCUUCAAAAUUAGCAAGAAAUUUGGUUAUAGGGUCAGUUGCAAUUGGUUUAAAUUUCAUCUGGAUUCCUAUGGUAGUAAGGUUCUUAACUAAUGGUAAAAUCUUCUAGUUCUCGUCUUCUGAAACGUACAACUGUUUACUGAAUAAAACUUGGUGUUAAGACGAA